GCCCCUGUAGCGCAGCCUGGAUUUUAUUAAACUAGAUAGCGCGUCAGGUUCCUAACCUGUAGGUCGUGGGAGGUUAAAUCAUGCGUGGUUUAAUCAACGAAUUCAAAUCCCAUCAGGGGCG
rnacentral:tRNA from 2 species